UUAAUGUCCAGGAGAGUGGCUAGCUGCAUGGCUGGUUGACUAGAGAUUUAUCGGUAUGGGAUGAGCUUGCGUCCGAUUAGCUAGUUGGCGGGGCAACGGCCCACCAAGGCGACGAUCGGUAGCCGGCCUGAGAGGGUGAUCGGCCACAUUGGGACUGAGAUACGGCCCAGACUCCUACGGGAGGCAGCAGUAGGGAAUAUUGCACAAUGGGGGAAACCCUGAUGCAGAAACGCCACGUGUGGGAAGAAGCAUUUCGGUGUGUAAACCACUGUCAUGAGGGAAUAAGGCCCGCCUCCGGGCGGGAUUGAAUGUACCUUGAGAGGAAGCACCGGCAAACUUCGUGCCAGCAGCCGCGGUAAUACGAGGGGUGCAAGCGUUGUUCGGAAUUACUGGGCGUAAAGGGAGCGUAGGCGGAGAUUCAAGCGGAUUGUACAAUCCCGGGGCCCAACCCCGGCUCUGCAGUCCGAACUGGAUCUCUUGUAUAGUUCAGGGGNAGGCGGAAUUCCUGGUGUAGCGGUGGAAUGCGUAGAGAUCAGGAAGAACACCGAUGGCGAAGGCAGCCUGCUGGGGAC
rnacentral:rRNA from 1 species